AACCAUUCAGGACUUAGUAGGGCAAAAACAUCACUUUGAACUCUACCUAGAAGCCACAGACAGCCGGUGCAGUCCACAAGCGCAGAUACAUUCUCCCAGUGUGAAACUGUGCCAAAUAAUCUUUUAAAACUAGUUUCUGCUUCUGAAUAAUCUGUCCAGCCUUGAAUGUCAGCCUUGUCCAGAUUGAGUCUCGCACCAGUUAGCCGGCAUCCAAGUCCCAAUCUGCUGCAGACACGGGGUUGUUCUGUUCUAGUGGAUGUGAUAUAGUGGAGAUGCUCAGCUGGGUAUCAUCAAUGUAUUGCAAACACUGAAGACCAUAUCUAUUUACUAAUUCUCCCAGAAGCCUCAUCACAUACACUGAGCAAGAGGACAGACAGAGCAGAAUCCUGUGGUGUCCUGUACGAGAGAGUCCGUGGGAUGGAGGAAUAAUUGCCCAUAAUUUCCUUCUAGGUCUUUCUGUAUAAGAAGCGGCAUUGCCACUUCCAAGUGGUUCCACCCGUUCCUGGCAGGGAUCUUACACAUGCCAACGACACCUCAUGAUCAACUGCAUUAAAGGCAGCUGACAGAUCUAAUAAAAUCAGCAUAAACGUGCUGGGAGGAGCUCAUCAACCAUUGUCAUCAAUGCACUUUCUGUCCCAUACACAGGCCUAAAACCAGACUGACCAGGGUCAAGGGAAACUGAAGACUGCAGUUCACAUGCAUUUUCAUACCAAGAGCUGCCCCAGAGAAAUGACCGACGUUAUGAGGGUGGUGUGAAGCCAAAACAUAACUUAAAACAAGUAGCAAUUACACAGGUGGUCAGUUACAACUUGAGCAGAAAAGGACAAUCAGAAAGAGACUCUUGGAGGACAUGGCCACACAGCCCUGUGAAUGUCACUGUUAAUGGAAGUCCCUGCAUUC
rnacentral:lncRNA from 1 species